rnacentral:rRNA from 1 species
AGUGAACGCUGGCGGUAGGCCUAACACAUGCAAGUCGAACGGCAGCACAGUAAGAGCUUGCUCUUACGGGUGGCGAGUGGCGGACGGGUGAGGAAUACAUCGGAAUCUACUUUUUCGUGGGGGAUAACGUAGGGAAACUUACGCUAAUACCGCAUACGACCUACGGGUGAAAGCAGGGGAUCUUCGGACCUUGCGCGAUUGAAUGAGCCGAUGUCGGAUUAGCUAGUUGGCGGGGUAAAGGCCCACCAAGGCGACGAUCCGUAGCUGGGCUGAGAGGAUGAUCAGCCACACUGGAACUGAGACACGGUCCAGACUCCUACGGGAGGCAGCAGUAGGGAAUAUUGGGCAAUGGGCGCAAGCCUGAUGCAGCCAAGCCGCGUGGGUGAAGAAGGCCUUCGGGUCGUAAAGCCCUUUUGUUGGGAAAGAAAAGCAGCAGGUUAAUACCCCGCUGUUCUGACGGUACCCAAAGAAUAAGCACCGGCUAACUUCGUG